AGAUAGGACACGCCCCUUUGAGCUGCGUGCUACAGCGAGGCUAAGCUAGUGGGGGCAAAGUUUCAGUGCAUUCCGUUGAUGUAGACGGCGUGAAAACGGAAACAACAAGUAUGCCGGCUAACUGUGCUGCAUACAGUUACACACUACGUCGUACGAUUGAGACAAGGAAACUUGGAAUGACUUUUCAUAGGUUUCCCAGAGACUAUGGGUUGAGGAGGAAUUGGAAGUUUGUCGGCUUAGACCUGGUGUCAUUCCAUCAGUGUUAAACUUCCCGGCUCAUCUUGGAAGAGUACGUGCCAGAAAGACCACGACCAAGCAGCCUUGAGAUCUUAGGCAGCGUCUCCCUGAGACCAAAGAACUACAGACUCUUCACAACCUGCUCAAACUCUUGGUACAGGACCUCACCACACGGGUCAAGAAGGUUUCCGUGUCAUUUCUACUCUGAAGCUCACCUUCUCCUGCUCAAACUGCUGACAAAUGUUUCUGCUGCUCUAAAGUCUGGUCUCCAGAACUUCCUAAAAACUCUCAAAGUCUCUUCUGCUGCAGGUUGCUUUGUAGAACUGUUGCAGAAAACCUCACUAAACCACAUGGAGGGGCCUCAAGAUAGUCGUCCAAAUGAAA
ensembl:lncRNA